rnacentral:rRNA from 1 species
AACGCGCAGAACCUUACCUGCCCUUGACAUCCCGGUCGCGGUUUCCAGAGAUGGAUUCCUUCAGCUCGGCUGGACCGGUGACAGGUGCUGCAUGGCUGUCGUCAGCUCGUGUCGUGAGAUGUUGGGUUAAGUCCCGCAACGAGCGCAACCCUCGUCGUUAGUUGCCAUCAGGUUGGCCUGGGCACUCUAACGAGACUGCCGGUGUCAAACCGGAGGAAGGUGGCGAUGACGUCAAGUCCUCAUGGCCCUUACGGGCAGGGCUACACACGAGCUACAAUGGCAGUGACAGACAGUUAAUCUCUAAACCGCGUUCCAUUUGGAAUUGUGCUUGUCAAUUCCAGACCAGGAAGUGGAAAUCCGGGUCUUGUACA